rnacentral:lncRNA from 1 species
GCUUCAUUUGGCUUCACAGAGUUUGAAGCUUCUUUUUGCUACCCUUUGGUUUGCAAAAUAUGCCAGUUUGUGAUGAAGCCUUUCCAAACAGGAACCUUUACGCCCUUGGGGGCAAUAUUUGCCUCCCAACAGUUCAAGUAAAAAAAUUUAAUUAUAGGCUUUAAAUAUUACAUGAUAUGACAGAACAGAACAUGUAAAAUAGCUGCUGCUAUUCCAGUAUGCUUGCUGCAACUUUAUUUCAAUUGGAAUACAUGAGACUUAAAUCCGUCUUUCUUUUAAAUUUGUUGGAAGAGAAUGGAGGGGAAAAAAAGGCCACCAGGACAUAAUGAGCAAUGUCACUCAUUGCUGAUGAGAAGCCCAAGCAGAGGAUCCUUGUGAAAAACAACAACAACUUUGGCUUAAAAUGGAACAUCUUCGCCAUCAGAAUAAACUCGUGUCUUUUGAAAGGCCCAAGCCAUUGCUCACUGGAUAAAUACAGAGAGACUAGAGCUCACAUCCCCCUCAACACCAAACAGCUCCAAGUAUGUGCAUACAUGGACAAUACAGUGGAGGGAAAAAGUGGGACACUGAGGCAAGGUCAGGCAUCCUGCACUUUACCAUCGUUGCCAGUGAUGAGUGUGGCAGAAUUCAUCUUUCCAGUGGGAAAAUGUGUUAAGUCCAACUGAGAUGCAAGAAUGUUAAAUAUUCAUUCACAGCACAAACUGAUGCCAACAAUGAUAGGAGAUGGGACAUUCUUCAGUAGCUGAUGGGCUAGAUAAUGCUUUCUAGUCUAUUAUUCCUGGUUGUAAUGUGAUGGAAGGUACUGCAAUAAUAGUGGGGUGCCACAAUCCGACGCUGCAGCAAAUGAGAACAAGCCCUGUGCAGCAGCCAUGGAUGCAGAAACAAAAAAGAAGAAAAUCUGCUUACCUUUGUAAGAUCUCAGGUAGAUAGGGACCUCCAGCAAGAUACCCUCCACUGCCAACACUUAAGUGAGGGCUGGGAAGGGAUGGAUCCUGGCUCCAGCCCUUCUGGUCACUGAGAAGCAUUGCUUGCACAUGAGCUCCUCUGGGUUGGCCCUGCAUUCCCACCAGGUGCUCAAUCACUGGUUCAAGCUGUGACUCAGCAUUUCUGCUACUCUGCUCAAUCCCUACUUGUAUGAAACAAGUUUGUUCCCGAAGGGUACCAAACUGGGAGUUAUAUCAAUAUGUACAUAUGCACACACAUAUGCACAUGUGCAUAUGCAUAUGAAGUUGCAUUUUGGAAUGUCUUUCACUCUUCCC